AUAGACAUGACCUCCUCUGAGGUCCAUACAAUGGCACCCAGCAGGCGGAGAAGUCCAGCGGGGAGGAAGGAGAAGCAGCCGAAACACACUUACCUGUUCUCACCAAUCACCAAUGGAGGCAGACGCACCGGAACAUGCAAGAGAAAGAGAAAACACUGGUCAGAUAAACAUUUCUUAGAAAGUGUCCAGACGUAAGAUCACCGAUGAACCUGUAGCCUCAAAAAUAAAAUCGGAACUGGCCUGUGCAGAUGGCUCAGUUGGCAGGGUAUCUGACCGAGGCUGGAGCUCACCAGUGAUAAGCCCCAGGAUCCUUCGACCUCUCUGCUCCCUGUGCUGGGACUGCAGGCCUAUGCUACCAUGCUCAGCUUGUCAUGUGGAUGCUGUACUGGCUGGUUUUGUAUGUCAACUUGACGAAAGCCGGAGUUAUCACAGAGAUAGGAGUCUGCCUUGAGGAAAUGCCUCCAUGAGAUGCAGCUGUAAGGCAUUUUCCCAACUACUGAUCAAGGAGGGAGAGCCCCUUGUGGGUGGUGCCAUCCCUGGGCUGGUAGUCCUGGGUUCUAUAAGAAAGCAAGCUGAGCAAGCCAGGGGAAGCAAGCCAGUAAGGAACAUCCCUCCAUGGCCUCUGCAUCAGCUCCUGCCUCCAAGUUCCUGCCCUGUGUGAGUUCCUGUCCUGACUUCCUUUGGUGAUGAACAGCAAUGUGGAUGUGUAAGCUGAAUAAACCCUUUCUUCCCCAACUUUCUUGGUCAUGAUGUUUUGUGCAGGAAUACAAACCCUGAAUAAGAGAGAUGCUGAGGGCCAGAACCCACU
rnacentral:lncRNA from 1 species